UACGGAGGGUGCGAGCGUUGUCCGGAAUCAUUGGGCGUAAAGGGCGCGUAGGUGGCCCGGUCAGUCUUUGGUGAAAGCGCGGGGCUCAACCCUGCGUCGGCCAGGGAUACUGCCGCGGCUCGAGCACUGUAGAGGCAGGCGGAAUUCCGGGUGUAGCGGUGGAAUGCGUAGAGAUCCGGAAGAACACCGGUGGCGAAGGCGGCCUGCUGGGCAGUGGGGGCAACCCCUGGAAGCUGACACUGAGGCGCGACAGCGUGGGGAGCAAACAGG
rnacentral:rRNA from 1 species